GUGUCACAGCAUCCUCCAGUCUUGGGGUGACACCUAUCGCCCACUAACACACAAAGCACUCACACAAGACUACCUGGAGAUGCUCCCAAUGUCACACAGCUCCUGGGGCUGACUACAUCUCUCAGGGCAAACAAAUUGUAGGUGGCUGCCUAGCUUCUCCCACAUCAGAUUUCACGCUCUUGUUCUGAAGAGACUAGCUCCUUUGUGAGCCUGCAAGCAGCAGGAAGCUGAGGCUACAGCCCAACUCUUCACCAGCUCUGUACCUAUUCCACCCCGCCUGACCCCAGGCCGAGAGCAUCAAGGAUGCUGCCAGUCAGGUGGGUAGCGCCCAUGGCCUCAUGUACAACAGCUCCCUCUGGCACCUCCUCCUGCUCAGGAGAUUUGGUGCUGGAAUCCAGGACUGCUUUCUAGGUAGGUAGCUACUCCUCCUUUUGAUGCCCUGAGGAGAGAGGGGCCUGCACGCAGCACUUCUGCUCCAUGCUAAAGAUGGAGGGGAGCUGGGAGCCCUUCCCUCUCCUGCAAGCCCCAAACCACCAUACACCGAAGUUUCUUCGGUGAGCACCUCAGAACCAUAUGGAAGGCAAUCUGUGGUCUCAGGACAGUGCAGCGGCUAUCAGGAACACCCCCCGGUUCUCCCUCACAAGGUCCUGGCUGUCCAAGCAGAGCUACAGAGGGCAAGGGAUUCCCCCUGCCAUUACAGGUAAUGAGUCCUCAGCAGACUCAGGCAGGGGCUGGGGAAGCCUGCAAUUUGCCUGCAGCUGGCGUCUGCUGUUUCCAGUCUUUUCUGCCAAAUGAGACAUAUCAUGCACUAGGUCCCCUCCCCUCCCCCCUCCUGGGAAAAGCAGAACCGACAAACAACUGAGCUUGGGGGAGCCUGGGAGCCAGCCCUGCCCCCAUGUGCGUGAGGAACUAGCAGUGCCCCACGCCCAGCCCAUACGACCCUUACCCCAAACCCUACCCCUCCUCCUACUCUUGAGUGCCCAGUGGCUAGGACCCCGGGCCCCAUGUUCCAAGCCGGACCGCACUUGCAAAGCGCUGGCACCAUCUUCCCGCCCCCGCACAACAGCUAUUUUUAGCUAGGGAAGCACCGCGCCCGGGCGCCGCUGCCCAUCCCGCCCGGCAGCCCGCUCACCAUCCCCGAGAGCGAGAGCGGCACCGCGCAGCUUUUCGUCAGCGCCUUCUGCCGCGAAGUUGUUGCAGCUUUCGUUUUCGCAGGCGCACACCCACGCCUGGGCUCCGGCCCGGGGCUUGGUCGGGCUGGGCUGUCCUGGGUUUGCUGGGCGGGCGCAGUACAGACUUCACCAGCGCCAGCCGCCCCCGCGUGCCACUACCUAGGCCGGUCUGGCCUCCCACCUGAGGUUCGGUAGAAAGCCAGCCCAGUCCCGGCACGGGGGGCACCGCACCCACCGUCGGCGACUUCCUCUGUAGAGGCGCUGGGGAAACCGCGGCCCUCGGGCUUCCUGCUGCGCCCGGGGCGGGGGCAGCUGCCCGAGCCCACCCGGGGGGAACUUAGUGCAGAAAAGCAGAGAGCCAGGCAGGCAGAGUGCCUUGUGGAGGGAAGAAUCAUGAGUUGUAGGAGGGCCACACUAGAGCUGUCAGUCGGGACUAGAACGAAGACUUCUGGAGUAACAUUCUCAAAGAAAACACAACAAAGAAGCAUGGGCUCCAGUGAGUGCUCCGGAGGGAAGCCAUCUAUUUCCUCACAAGGUGUGCAGCGAGGCCAGGUAAAUGAAGACCCUCCCAACCUCUGCAUUUAAAGAACAGGUAUCCACUCCUGUGAGCAGCUUUGCAGAGUCCAGGGAAAGGUAGUAAGUGUUCUACAGAGGAAGGCUCAGAAGGCAAACAGUGCUCUGGGCACAGAACGGCAUCCACAGCAUUGUUCUACCUAGGGCAUCUUCCACCUCAGGAGGCGCACUCUACAGGAGCCAGCUACCCUCCCGUUCCUGACUGCUCUUCCUGCCCAGGUGGACGAGAACACUGAGGAAGGGACAGAAGAAGCUGCCUCCACACAUUUCCUGUCCCACGCCAGGGCUCUGAGCCCUCCCCACACUCCUGAAGGCCUCAUCCAUCCAGUCAGUCACGACACUUAGCCUACUCCUUGAGCUGCCUUCGUGUCCUUUGCCUUUCUCUAGCUUCAACCCACCAGCAUCCCAAACAAGCAUGGGUCCAGCCCUCUUCCUCUCAACCUAGAGAAUAAACCAGUUUUCUACCCUUGCAAGAUGACUUUCCUGCUCAGCUAUGGGCUUACUGCUGGGGACAUGGAAGAAACGACCUGGGCUCCCAGAAGUUCACUUGCAGGCACGCACGCACACGCACGCACACACACACACACCCCUUCUUCAGACUCUGAGAAGGACAGAGGCUUCAAAUGCAUGCUUCCCACGACAGCAUCUCAACUUACUAUAUCCUCCCCGCAUCCCCACUGCGACUGCUCUUUGACAGACAACACAGUGGGCACAGGGUCAGGGAGUUAGAGCACUGGUAACCCUGGGACCUAGCACACAGACCUGGCCAGCCCAAUUCAGAUCAUUCCUUGAAGUUGUCUCCAAUUACUGCAGCAGACAUCAUAGCCAGGUGCCAAAAUGCUACUUGUAUCUCAUAUAAUCAUGACGUCACUUCAUACCUUUGCCACUUCCUGAAAGAUCAAGUCAGACCAAAGGAGGAUGAGAACAUGCGCUCAUCACCUUCAACCGGGCCAGGAAGAAGCUGUGUUACCAGUGUUGUGCACCACUGUCUGGAAGGCAGUAUCCAGGAGGCCUGCAGGCUCACCAGCAACACCUACUCUCCAGAGCAUGCCUACCCUGCCUCAGACUGGGCUCCUGGGGAAGGCCCGGUACCGACUGUCACAGCACCAGAGAAGCCUACCUACCAUACAUAAGAACUUGCAGAGUCAGGGUAUAGGGUAUGAGUUGCUAAGUCCUGAACAAGCAAAUUUUCAAGAAGGACGUCCCUGGGAGAGCAUCUAUUCCCAGCUGGGCUCUAGAGGUCUCGGCAUACACACCCAACCUUGUUAGGUAGGGUCUCACUAUAGUCCAGGCUGGCCCUGGACUCACGGCGACCUGUCUGCUUCAGCCCCUGACUGACUGCUGGGAUUAUAGACGUGAGCUGCUACCUAUCUUGCACUGGCCUCUUAAACCGUUUUUACACCAUGUGAUGUCCUGCACUCCAACCCCUGGCUCGUACCAACCAACUCUCUCCAGAGGCAUCGUCAACUCUAGCUGACCAGCAACAGCAAAGACCCAGCGCGACAUUUCUCACAGGGUGAGAAUCACCCUUGUUCCCUCACCAGAUGGAUGCUUCUGAGUACAUGCUGGAGCGUCAACCCCACUGACAGAGGUUGGCGGGCCUUGAGAAUGCUCUGGGCUUCAGAGCUUUGAGCUUCCUGGUACCUGUUAAUAGCCUAAGCAGUAGAAGCCUGUGGGUCCCAGUCGCUCAUAAAGCACAUGAAUGUUGAAAA